UACGUAGGGCGCAAGCGUUUGUCCGGAAUUAUUGGGCGUAAAGAGCUCGUAGGCGGUCUGUCACGUCUGCCGUGAAAACCCGAGGCUUAACCUCGUGGCUUGCGGUGGAUACGGGCAGACUAGAGGUAGGUAGGGGAGAACGGAAUUCCCGGUGUAGCGGUGAAAUGCGCAGAUAUCGGGAGGAACACCGGUGGCGAAGGCGGUUCUCUGGGCCUUACCUGACGCUGAGGAGCGAAAGCAUGGGGAGCGAACAGG
rnacentral:rRNA from 1 species